UACCCACACGUAUAAAACAGAUCUCAAUUUCAAGACCAAAGUGAUCUUUUUCCGCUCGCUCGCUCUGCAGGUGAAUUCUCUUCUUCGUUAAUGGCGGACGCCAAUCUGCCUCGACGGAUCAUCAAGGAAACGCAGAGGCUUUUGAGCGAACCGGUGCUGACUUCUUUUUCAUUUCUUCCAAUCUUUCAGCACUUGCUUUUGUACUACUUCCAAUGGACAAGUUGGGAUCGUCGAGUCGGUAAGCUUCUCCAUUGACCUAGGAUUCUUUCCGGGUUCUGUCUGGUAGUUUUGUUCCUCGGUUUCGACUGUUUGGUGUUGAUCUCCCUCCGUCUUCAUUGAACUAUAUGAGCUGUGUUGUCCGUGUGGUCUUAGCUUCUUCUGCUGAGUUCAUAGGGGUGGAAAAAAAGACAGAAUCUUGGGUUUCUACGUUGGGUUGGAUGGUGAGAAUUCGAUAAUCUAAUGGAAUUGGGCUCAUAAGAGACACAAAGAUGUACUGACAGUGUUUGUCACAGCUCCUUCAGAAGACAAUAUGAGGUACUUCAAUGUGAUGAUUCUUGGUCCAGCUCUGUCUCCUUUCGAAGGUAAAUGUUUCAUCAUGAAUUUGUCCGAUGUCUUGUUCUAGUAUUGAUUGUAGUAAUUACUGUUCUUUCCCUCAAGCUGGUGUAUUCAAACUUGAGCUGUUCUUGCCUGAAGAGUACUCAGUGUCACCCCCCAAAGGUAAAAUAUGAGUAUGAGACUCUUAUAUGACGCCUUAAUCUGAGGCGUUUUGGUGAUGCAUAGUGCAUACAUCCCUUUGCCUGUUGAUGCCUACUGUAACUCGAGUAUCAUGCACUCAGAUUUUGUUGUAGUUUCAUACUUGUGAUGAGAUCAUAGGAUCAGAAAUCCGAUAUCGUAUCACCUUGGAAGGGUUCUUUUCUUCGGCCUCUGAGCAUUCAGGCUCUUUUGAGUGCCCCAAACCCAGAUGAUCCGUUGUCUGAGAACAUUGCAAAGCAUUGGAAGACAAAUGAGAGUGAAGCCGCCGAAACAGGUAAUCUCUGAUCCAUCUGUCAUUUCCUGAUGUAGGAAAGACCAGAUAUGAUCAAAUAAGCAAAAGGGCACCCAAAAAAAACCUUGAACAUAUGUCCCCAUAGAAGAGUCUUGAAUUUUUACUAAGAGUUGAGGCCCAAGUUAGUAUAGACAGACGGAAUUAUUGAUAACACGCCAGAAUUCUGCUCGUUGGAGCAGAACACAAAGCUCAUGCAACAACUUAGCCAAUGACCCUUGGAUGAAAGCUGUAUCCUUCUGGACAGAGACAAAGUUCAUUGGCGUUGUUCCACUCGACAGCAAACACGGCAAAACACAACAAUUCCUACAAGGUUUCUCUCUUUCUUUCAUUUUUUUUCUCAUUCUUCUUGUAUUAGAAUAUCCGAGAUGCUGUAUAUUCAAGGAUGGGGUCAGCCAGAGGACAAGAAUACGAACAACUUUGCGGGUCAAUGGUGUAUUGAAGAUGCUGAUAUCUGUCGAGAGUGUGACCGCACCCCGGAAAAGUAUGAGAUUCGGUGAGGAGAUAACCGGCCAUCGGUACAACGCACCAGCCAAUCCGAUCGGGAGCUUCUGUGAAAACUCUUGGCAGAUGACUUAUUCUUGUAAGUAAAUCUAAAUAACGUAUGGAUAUGGUAAGAACAUGUUAAAGGGUUUCCAAAGUAAUGAGUCGAGUUCAUUCGAUAUGGGCUCUGUAUACAAUAUUGAGAGACCAUUUCUGAUAUUUCAUUCGGAUCACGAGUUCCACUGCUUAGGAGAAGAAGUUAUGUGGGUACAAAAUGAAAUGAGAACAAGUUGGAAAGGGACA